rnacentral:tRNA from 7 species
GGGGAUAUGGCGAAAUUGGUAAGACGCACCACACUCAAAAUGUGGCGGUUUAAUCCGUGUCGGUUCGACUCCGACUAUCCCCACCA